CCAGGUUUUAUAGUGUGAAAGAUUCUUGCUUCUUGGGAACGUCAGCGACAUCCAUGGAUCCAUCAAAGUCCACCCGUGGUAGACAUCCGCUUGCAGACAUCACCAACACAACACCUCAAGCUAACCAAGCACCACGUGGAUGGUGGCCAGAUGAUGUCGAUCCUAAUGCUCGUAAGAGGCUGAGAGAUAGAGAACGGUCUGCAACAAUGUCUGAUGAAAAAAGAAUGGAAAGGAACAAAAAGUGUC